UUAGUUACAGCCGAACCUUCUUUCUCCCCGAUCCCUUCCUCCCUUCUCUGAUCUCGGUGAACAACGGCGACGGAUCUCGAUCGGUGGAUUUCGCCGGCUGUCGGGAGGGAACCAAGGGCAUCGGCGUUGGAUCAGGCCAGCAUCGAUUGUUUGGAGGAGGUAACAACCAUUGUUCCUUCCCGAUCUCUGUCCCUGUUCGUCGGCAAGAACAAGUCGUUGCCCUAACUUCGAUCUUGGAGAGACUGGUAUUUUGGUCCCGGCCACCACAACUCUGUUGGAUCGAUCUCUUCUUCGUAUCAGUGAUCGUCUCCGGUGAUUGAAGGGUGCAGAGAGGAUGCGAUGUGCUUAUUUUAGAUACUGGAUUGGGAAGUGCAGAGAAUCAAGCAAGGGUCAAGGAGUUGCUUCAUGUGGAGGAAUCAAAACUAGAGGAGGAUGAGGGAAAUACCACUCCAACAGUGAGAUGGGUUCGAGAUGAUAAAUAUGAUUGCAUCCGAUUAAAGCAUUGUAAG